rnacentral:rRNA from 1 species
UACGAAGGGGGCUAGCGUUGUUCGGAAUCACUGGGCGUAAAGCGCACGUAGGCGGAUCUUUAAGUCAGACGUGAAAUCCCUCGGCUUAACCGGGGAACUGCGUCCGAUACUGGUUGGCUUGAGUUUGGGAGAGGGAUGCGGAAUUCCAGGUGUAGCGGUGAAAUUCGUAGAUAUCGGGAGGAACACCAGUGGCGAAGGCGGCGACCUGGGCCAAUACUGACGCUGAGGUGCGAAAGCGUGGGGAGCAAACAGG